GCGUUCGUGGUGUAACAGUAGCACACUCGGCUCGUACUCGAGAGGUCCAGGUUCGCGUCCCUGCGAGGGCC
rnacentral:tRNA from 1 species